rnacentral:ribozyme from 13 species
UACUUUUUUUUUUUUUUUUUUUUUUUUUUUUUUUUUUUUUUUUUUUUUUUCACCCCCCAAGUC